rnacentral:misc_RNA from 1 species
AAAAAAAAAAAAAAAAAAAGGUUUCAAUACAACCACCCAUCAACAAUGAAAUAAAGUUCAUCCAGCAUUUCCAUUGGACAGCAUCCUCUGGACUGAUGAAUUUACCACCCCAAUAUCAAAAGAAUAAUGCCUAUAUUGCAGUAAAAAAAUUAAAUCCCUUCCUCCACUUGAAAGACAACGCUUUCCCGAGAAUCAAGAAACAGAAUUUUACACUAUGUUUGGAAAAAUUUUGGGAGAGGAAGGAAAAUAAAAGAAGGAAAAUAUUUUUUAUUUUCCCUCCUUUAUUUUCUCUUCUUGUGUUUGGAUGUGUAGAAAAUAAAAAAGGAAAAGUAAAAGUUAACACAAAAAAUAAAGGAAAGAUAGUACAAAUCUAACUUUUUUUGCUUUGAUUUCUCAUUUUCUCUCCAAAUACUCUCCAAUUUGGAGAGAAAAUAACUAGAGGAAAAUAAAAUUUAUUUUCCUCCCCUCCCUUAUUUUCCCUCUCUUAUCCAAACAAGGGAAAGUGUUUUUUAAAGUUAUUUUCCUCUAGUUAUUUUCUUUCUUUUUGACCUAUCCAAACAUGGUGUUAAGCGCUGGCAUUCCAGCGAUAACAAAAUUUCUCUGAAUUAUGAAAGCAAUUGAAAGGUCCCAAGCCGAUUCAUAGUUAACACCAAUGGAUUUUAGAUAGGACAAACUGCAUACCCAACUACAACAAUGCCAUAUAUUUUAAAGAAAAAGGAUAAUUAUUCGAACCAAUAGUCCUUGUCCAGUGAUAAUAAUGACCGCAGUGAUGAAAUGACGGCAAAUGAUAAUGGCAUCUAAAACUAGCUGCAACACAGUCUUGAAUUACCAAGCAUAAAUGCACUUCUAGAUACAUGUUAUACACACUAAAACCCAGAAAUUUCUUUCUAUACUAAUAGCACUUGACCAGGUAAAUUGAUAUCAGGAUUUAUCAUACAAACAAACAAUAUUAAACUCAGUAAACAUCAAUUAAAAUUAUACGAAAAUUCUAAACAAAAAUGAAACUAAGUUAGUACCAAUUCCACGGCUAGCUCCAGU